rnacentral:rRNA from 1 species
GGCCAGGGCUACACACGUGCUACAAUGGUCGGUACAAAGGGUUGCCAAGCCGCGAGGUGGAGCUAAUCCCAUAAAACCGAUCGUAGUCCGGAUCGCAGUCUGCAACUCGACUGCGUGAAGUCGGAAUCGCUAGUAAUCGUGAAUCAGAAUGUCACGGUGAAUACGUUCCCGGGCCUUGUACACACCGCCCGUCACACCAUGGGAGUGGGUUGCUCCAGAAGUAGCUAGUCUAACCGCAAGGGGGACGGUUACCACGGAGUGAUUCAUGACUGGGGUGAAGUCGUAACAAGGUAGCCGUAGGGGAACCUGCGGUUGGAUCACCUCC